ACUGCCUCCUACAUUCUUUAGACAACAGCCACUAUUCUGUCUUUCCUUAUUUUUCUGUUCUUUUGUUGUCUCUUUUAGUAGGCCAAUAUGGAGGACGAAGAGGCCUAUUAAAAGAGACUUAUCUCCACUUCUUCAAGUUUCUUCCUCCAGUAAGAACAAAAUAAUUCUUCUAAGAGAAGAAAAAGGAGAGCUUUUGUUUAAAGUUUUCAUUUCUUUGGAGCUCUCUUAUUUCUUCUUAAUUCAAGUUUUCUUGUUUUUGUCAUUUAACCAUGGCCGACAUUUCCU
rnacentral:lncRNA from 1 species